GACAGAGGGUGCAAACGUUGUUCGGAAUUACCGGGCGUAAAGCGCGUGUAGGCGGCCCUGCAAGUCGGGUGUGAAAUCCCACGGCUCAACCGUGGAAGUGCAUUCGAAACUGCAGGGCUAGAGUCCUGGAGAGGAGAGUGGAAUUCCCGGUGUAGCGGUGAAAUGCGCAGAUAUCGGGAAGAACACCCGUGGCGAAGGCGGCUCUCUGGAACGCAACUGACGCUGAGACGCGAAAGCGUGGGGAGCAAACAGG
rnacentral:rRNA from 1 species